rnacentral:lncRNA from 1 species
UGCCGGAAUAUUGGUAAAAUCAGCAUAAAACCAUUCUCUCCCACUCACUCACUGCCUUGACAGUUAUUGCAAAGACCACUCAAUCACUAAUAAGAUAAACUAUUACAAAGAAAAUAACAAAGAUAAACUUGACUUAAAAUGUGAUAAAUUACAUAUUGACAGAAAAGCCACACAGGUUGAUAUAAGCUGAGCAUCCUUCAACACUGGUCACCAGAAUUCAGAGUAGUGAACACAAGAGACAGUCACCAAGCCAAGGAAGGAAGCACUCACUCUUGACUGAUCAGAAAAGAGAAUCUGUUGAUAGUUUCUAUAUACCGAAAGCACACCCAACUCAUAAUUGCAUUAGUUUAAUGUGAUUUUGUAAAGUAUUUCAUUUUGUGAUUAAUGUGAAACAAAGUCCAAGUACCAAAGAUCCCAGUUCUAAGUUUGGUGAAACAUAAAAGCAUGGAUAUAUUGACAAAAGAUCAUGAUUUUAGGAUUUGAAACCAGCUACUACUGAAUCCUGGCACUACAAAGGGACACAACUCUGCACGAUGAUCUGAUGUCAUGUUUGACGGAUAUGCUCCCAGAAGAGCAUCUAGCUUAAGUGAUCUACCUUACAUACAACUUAAACAUUCACUGAGCUAAAGCCUGAUAUGAAUAAAACCUUGUGUCUGAUUGUGAAUCGAUUAAAACAUAUAAAUGAAAAUAGAGAACAUUACCAAGAAAAUCGUUUUCACAGAAUUUGUAAAGGGGAAUAAAUAACGAUUAUAUAUUUGUGGUCAGUGGUCACUUCAUUGCUACGUAAUUUUCAAAAGGAAAUCUGUACCCUCUGGAUCCCUCCUUAGGACAUUGUCUACACUAUUCAAUGAUCAUGAUAUAAUCUCCCAACAACAACAAAAUCUACUUAUGAUCAACAAGUAUGGAAGGAGGGAGAAAUAUAAUAAAUAAUAAAAAUAAGUCCUAAAAACAUCCCAGACCAGGUAAAAAAUCUGCAAAAUACUGAACACUGAUCUGCUACAAGUUUUAGUGUAAGAAAACCUGACUGUAUAUAACAUGUGGUGCUAACAGGGGGUAACAGCAGGAGGGGCGUAUGAGGGGAAACGGGGCUUCCACCCAGGGAAUAUUGGUUGUAUUUCCGACACCUGGUUGCCAUGCAUCUCUCUGGGAUAUAUUCAAAACAAUCUGCAUGUUUGUGUGUUGUAUAAAACCCCACUCAGCAAUUUCCAGCUGUAUGCCGUGGUCUGUAAAUAACUUCAUCUAGACCAGACAAGCAAUUAAUUGAUCUCGUAAGUUCCUCCAUCCCACUGCAUAAACUAGCCCUUAUCUAUCCUUAUCUAAGCUAAUUGCUGAUUAUUUGAUUAUAACAUUACAUAUCUUCACUAAACUAUGAAUACAUGACACGUUUAUAUGGAUAACAACUUAAACGUUGUAUAAAGAAUAAAAAGUUGUUAUCCAUCAAAAGUGUCAUGCAUUCAUGUUUGUCAAACUUCUAGAUGCCUUUCAAGAAUUUCAGUAAACUAGUCUAAGUGCAAACUUAAUUUGACCAGUCCUCAGAGUUUGUAAAAGUUCUGCAAGAACAAGGCGAAUAUGUUUACUAUGUGUACUUUUUCUGGCAGGUUUAAUCACUACCAAUUUGCAGAAAACUUGAGAAGUAUGACUUGAUUUGUACUUGUCCUAGUACACUUUUGUAGAGUCAUUUUGACGUUUGCGCAGGUUGUUAAUCACUAAAAGUUAGUUUUAAAAAUAUUAAAUAAAAA